GCGAGUCAACAUAGCAAUAUGUGGCAUACGGCUCAGUAACACGUAGUCAACAUGCCCAGGGGACGUGGAUAACCUCGGGAAACUGAGGACAAACCGCGAUAAGUCACUGCUUCUGGAAUGGGCAAUGACUUAAAUCUAUAUGGCCCCUGGAUUGGACUGCGGCCGAUCAGGCUGUUGGUGAGGUAAUGGCCCACCAAACCUGUAACCGGUACGGGCUCUGAGAGGAGGAGCCCGGAGAUGGGCACUGAGAAAAGGACCCAGGCCCUAUGGGGCGCAGCAGGCGCGAAACCUCUGCAAUAGGCGAAAGCCUGACAGGGUUACUCUGAGUGACUUUCGCUAAGAAAG
rnacentral:rRNA from 1 species